rnacentral:rRNA from 1 species
AUUGAACGCUGGCGGCAUGCCUUACACAUGCAAGUCGAACGGUAACAGGCCUUCGGAUGCUGACGAGUGGCGAACGGGUGAGUAAUACAUCGGAACGUGCCUAGUAGUGGGGGAUAACUACUCGAAAGAGUGGCUAAUACCGCAUGAGAUCUACGGAUGAAAGCAGGGGAUCGCAAGACCUUGUGCUACUAGAGCGGCCGAUGGCAGAUUAGGUAGUUGGUGGGAUAAAAGCUUACCAAGCCGACGAUCUGUAGCUGGUCUGAGAGGACGAUCAGCCACACUGGGACUGAGACACGGCCCAGACUCCUACGGGAGGCAGCAGUGGGGAAUUUUGGACAAUGGGCGCAAGCCUGAUCCAGCAAUGCCGCGUGCAGGAUGAAGGCCUUCGGGUUGUAAACUGCUUUUGUACGGAACGAAAAGCCCUGGGUUAAUACCCUGGGGUCAUGACGGUACCGUAAGAGUAAGCACCGGCUAACUACGUGCCAGCCGCCGCCGUAAAAC